rnacentral:lncRNA from 1 species
AAGUCAAUGCCACUGGUGGAGCAGGCAUGGUGGGGGGAGUCUUCCCCCACAAUAUUUACAUAUUUUCACUUCAUUUCCUUACAAUGCCUAAAGCUCUACUAAUUAGAAACUCAUUUGAGAUAACUAGUAACCAAUUUAAAAAUGCAAACACCUCCUGGGGCUAGCCAGAGUCCUCCAAACAGUCAUGUAAAUUGGUUCUGUCAAGGAUUUCCUCCUACCCCCUACUGAGAGCCAGUUGCAAGGAGAGACUAGGGAAGGGCAUUGGGUAACUGUAUGGAGCAAGUGAAGAAAUCAGCAGAGUGAAAAUAGAGGGAGAACAACACGAUGGGGGAAAGGCAAAGUUAGUGCCACAUUGGUUUCAAUUCUGCCACUCAAGAGUGACACGAGUGAGACCCAUGACCUCCUCUCUCUAGGACUCUGUUGUUCUUAUCUGUAGAGUGGAGGAAUAGAAGGGCCUUUUAAAGUAUUAACAUUUCCUGACCUAUCUGUAAAACACUUUCAUUCAAACUGAUGGGAAUCUUGACUACUUUGCCAAGAGGACAUAAUAAUCAUCAAGCUGAAUGCACCAAACAACAUUGCCUGAAACUAUCUAAGCAAAAACUGAGAAAGUUACACAGGACAGACAAACCUCCUAUGAGAGUAAGAACUCUUCAGCACAUGCUUAGUGUG